CAGAUCUUCCUUGUCUUGGAAAGGGCUGUGUUUCUUCUCUGAAGUUUUACCAGCCAACCAGAGGGUCUUCUCUUGGCAUUGCCAGAUUCUGAAGAUGUGUGUAGAAAUCCUAUGGCUGGAAGGUUAAAAAAAAAAAUGAGGACAAAGCAGAAGAUUGGGAUGAGUGUGUGGAAGUUUAAAUUGCUGAACAUCUACACCAGGGGUCUUGAACUGGAGAGGAAAUUGCAAAGGUGAACUUUCUGCUUUGCGAGGAUGGGGACAAGCAGCCCGGUGCCACCUGGCGGCAGCAGAUGCAACACUGUCAUCUCUUGGCUCAUCAGAAAACGAAGGAAGCAGACAGGACUGGGACUGCUGGAAAUGAGCA